rnacentral:tRNA from 1 species
UACUAUCUGACAACUAAUCAUAUUUAAAUCCUAAAUUUAACGCGCUACUCCGCCUAAAUAGU